GCAGGCUGCAACCCGCCUGCAUGAAGUCGGAAUCGCUAGUAAUCGCAAGUCAGCAUAUUGCGGUGAAUACGUUCCCGGGUCUUGUACACACCGCCCGUCACACCAUGGGAGUUGGCAACACCCGAAGUCGAUGAGCUAACCUUUUAGGAGGCAGUCGCCUAAGGUGGGGUUGAUAACUGGGGUGAAGUCGUAACAAGGUACC
rnacentral:rRNA from 1 species